AACUGAUACUACCUGCGGGAACCUGCGGAAGGAUCAUUACCGAGUUUACAACUCCCAAACCCAUGUGAACAUACCUGUCUUGUUGCUUCGGCGGCGCCCACGGCCCUCACGGGCUUGGGGCCCGCCAGAGGACCCAAACAAAACUCUUUGCAUUUUGAAUACAGUAUUCUGAGUGACAUGAUUAAAUAAAAUCAAAACUUUCAACAACGGAUCUCU
rnacentral:misc_RNA from 1 species